GUUGAGGAAAUUAUUGAUCAUGUUUUUUUGAGUUGUCUGGAAUUCGACCGAAUUGGAGAAGCAGGGCACGUGAAUCGAAUUGGAUAGGUUUGGAAUGAUCUUGGGUGACUCCAAUGGUGGCAGAGAAGUAGCAACCCCACCCGAAUCCGUCCUCGUUAGC
rnacentral:pre_miRNA from 1 species